rnacentral:rRNA from 1 species
GAUGAACGCUAGCUACAGGCUUAACACAUGCAAGUCGAGGGGCAGCAUGAAGAUGUGCUUGCACAACUUUGAUGGCGACCGGCGCACGGGUGAGUAACGCGUAUCCAACCUUCCCUAUACUAGAGAAUAGCCCGGCGAAAGUCGGAUUAAUGUUCUAUGUUCUUCUUUGAUGGCAUCUGACGAGAAGCAAAGGUUUACCGGUAUAGGAUGGGGAUGCGUCUGAUUAGGUUGUUGGCGGGGUAACGGCCCACCAAGCCUACGAUCAGUAGGGGUUCUGAGAGGAAGGUCCCCCACAUUGGUACUGAGACACGGACCAAACUUCUACGGGAGGCAGCAGUGAGGAAUAUUGGUCAAUGGGCGAGAGCCUGAACCAGCCAAGUAGCGUGCAGGAUGACUGCCCUAUGGGUUGUAAACUGCUUUUAUAGGGGAAUAAAGUGAGGUAUGCAUACCUUUUUGUAUGUACCCUAUGAAUAAGGACCGGCUAAUUCCGUGCCAGCCGCCGCAGUAAUAC